UGUUGUUUGUAUAAUGUACGGGAUACGUGAUACUCGAUAGCGUGCACUUGACAUAUUUUUAUCUUCAAACGACAAAUGUACUUUGAUAAAAAUAUCUAAUGUUAAUGGCAGACACCGUCAAGUCAUGAUUUAGUAAAUAACAAUGUUAAUUGAAAUUAAAAGUACUAAUAUUAUAAAUAAAUUAAUUAAUUAACAAGAAAAAAGUAUUGAGACUACGACGUUAUUAGUCUGACAAAACUGAGUUACCAAGAUAAACUACUUGGAAAAUGUGUACAGGUUUAGAUGCUUCUACCUGAAUAAAAUGUGCUCUUGUGGGAAUUUAUGUAAACUUCAAUAAAAACACUGACGGUGGGUGGCCGGCACGCGGCCCUCUAGAGUCGUAAGCACAGCUGGCAGUUAACGGUAGCCACAAUUCGAAACCACGCUGUGCCCGAGCCGUACCGGGACCGUGCCUGUUAUGCGUUUUGACCUUCAUAUUUCAGCGUGUUACUUGGCGGUAAAACUGUGGGAACGCGCAGGUCUGGUAAAGCCAGUGAAGACAAACUGCGGUAUUUGUGGGAUCGCUUUUACACGAUGUAUUCUUGAAUAUAUUAAUACGUAUACAUGUAAGUAUGUUACACCAAU